GUGUUGUAUGAAAUGAGAGAAGGCUGGCAUUCCCUUUAACAAGGAUGGAAGAAGCCCUUGAAACUUAUAGCAUGCAUAAGCUUAAGGUAUUGCCAUGUACUUUAUGACGUUUAACCACAGUUUAGA
rnacentral:ncRNA from 1 species